rnacentral:rRNA from 1 species
GUAAGCUACUAAGAGCGAAUGGUGGAUGCCUUGACUGGUAGAGGCGAUGAAGGACGUACUAGACUGCGAUAAGCUAGGUGGAGCUGUCAAGAAGCUUUGAUGCCUAGAUUUCCGAAUGGGGCAACCCAGUAUAUAGAGAUAUAUACUACCAUAAUGGAGCGAACGAGGGGAAUUGAAACAUCUUAGUACCCUCAGGAAAAGAAAUCAAACGAGAUUGCGUCAGUAGCGGCGAGCGAAAGCGUAAGAGGGCAAACCCAGUGCUUGCACUGGGGGUUGUAGGACUGCAAUGUGCAAGAGGAAAGGUUAGCAGAACACUCUGGAAAGUGUAGCCAUAGAGGGUGAUAGUCCCGUAUGCAAAAACCUAACCUUAGCUAGCAGUAUCCUGAGUAGGGCGGGACACGAGAAAUCCUGUCUGAAGCUGGGUAGACCACUAUCCAACCCUAAAUACUCCUACCAGAUCGAUAGCGAACAAGUACCGUGAGGGAAAGGUGAAAAGAACGGCGGUGAGCCGAGUGAAAUAGAACCUGAAACCAUUUGCUUACAAUCAUUCAGAGCACUAUGUAGCAAUACAGUGUGAUGGACUGCCUUUUGCAUAAUGAGCCUGCGAGUUGUGGUGUCUGGCAAGGUUAAGCUAACGCGAAGCCGUAGCGAAAGCGAGUCUGAAUAGGGCGCUAAGUCAGAUGCUGCAGACCCGAAACGAAGUGAUCUAUCCAUGAGCAGGUUGAAGCUAGUGUAAGAACUAGUGGAGGACCGAACCCGCUAGCGUUGAAAAGCUAUGGGAUGACUUGUGGAUAGGGGUGAAAGGCCAAUCAAACUUCGUGAUAGCUGGUUCUCUCCGAAAUAUAUUUAGGUAUAGCGUUGUGUCGUAACUAAAGGGGGUAGAGCACUGAAUGGGCUAGGGCAUACACCAAUGUACCAAACCCUAUCAAACUCCGAAUACCUUUAGUGUAAUCACAGCAGUCAGGCGGCGAGUGAUAAAAUCCGUCGUCAAGAGGGAAACAACCCAGACUAACAGCUAAGGUCCCCAAAUCUUACUUAAGUGGAAAACGAUGUGAAGUUACUUAAACAACCAGGAGGUUGGCUUAGAAGCAGCCAUCCUUUAAAGAAAGCGUAAUAGCUCACUGGUCUAGUGAUUUUGCGCGGAAAAUAUAACGGGGCUAAAGUAAGUACCGAAGCUUUAGANNNNNNNNNNNNNNNNNNNNNNNNNNNNNNNNNNNNNNNNNNNNNNNNNNNNNNNNNNNNNNNNNNNNGCGGUAGGAGAGCGUUCUAUUUGCGUCGAAGGUAUACCGACAAGGAGUGCUGGAGCGAAUAGAAGUGAGCAUGCAGGCAUGAGUAGCGAUAAUUAAUGUGAGAAUCAUUAACGCCGUAAACCCAAGGUUUCCUACGCGAUGCUCGUCAUCGUAGGGUUAGUCGGGUCCUAAGCUGAGUCCGAAAAGGGGUAAGCGAUGGCAAAUAGGUUAAUAUUCCUAUACCAACAUUAGUGUGCGAUGGAAGGACGCUUAGGGCUAAGGGGGCUAGCGGAUGGAAGUGCUAGUCUAAGGUCGUAGGAGGUUAUACAGGCAAAUCCGUAUAACAAUACUCCGAGAACUGAAAGGCUUUUUGAAGUCUUCGGAUGGAAAGAAGAACCCCUGAUGCCGUCGAGCCAAGAAAAGUUUCUAAGUUUAGCUAAUGUUGCCCGUACCGUAAACCGACACAGGUGGGUGGGAUGAGUAUUCUAAGGCGCGUGGAAGAACUCUCUUUAAGGAACUCUGCAAAAUAGCACCGUAUCUUCGGUAUAAGGUGUGCCUCCCUUUGUAUUAGAAUUCACUUCGAAAGCAAAGAAGGUUACAACAAAGAGUCCCUCCCGACUGUUUACCAAAAACACAGCACUCUGCUAACUCGUAAGAGGAUGUAUAGGGUGUGACGCCUGCCCGGUGCUCGAAGGUUAAUUGAUGGGGUUAGCAUUAGCGAAGCUCUUGAUCGAAGCCCGAGUAAACGGCGGCCGUAACUAUAACGGUCCUAAGGUAGCGAAAUUCCUUGUCGGUUAAAUACCGACCUGCAUGAAUGGCGUAACGAGAUGGGAGCUGUCUCAAAGAGGGAUCCAGUGAAAUUGUAGUGGAGGUGAAAAUUCCUCCUACCCGCGGCAAGACGGAAAGACCCCGUGGACCUUUACUACAGCUUGACACUGCUAUUUGGAUAAGAAUGUGCAGGAUAGGUGGGAGGCUUUGAGUAUAUGACGCCAGUUGUAUAUGAGCCAUUGUUGAGAUACCACUCUUUCUUAUUUGGGUAGCUAACCAGCUUGAGUUAUCCUCAAGUGGGACAAUGUCUGGUGGGUAGUUUGACUGGGGCGGUCGCCUCCCAAAUAAUAACGGAGGCUUACAAAGGUUGGCUCAUAGCGGUUGGAAAUCGCUAGUAGAGUAUAAAGGUAUAAGCCAGCUUAACUGCAAGACAUACAAGUCAAGCAGAGACGAAAGUCGGUCUUAGUGAUCCGGUGGUUCUGUGUGGAAGGGCCAUCGCUCAAAGGAUAAAAGGUACCCCGGGGAUAACAGGCUGAUCUCCCCCAAGAGCUCACAUCGACGGGGAGGUUUGGCACCUCGAUGUCGGCUCAUCGCAUCCUGGGGCUGGAGCAGGUCCCAAGGGUAUGGCUGUUCGCCAUUUAAAGCGGUACGCGAGCUGGGUUCAGAACGUCGUGAGACAGUUCGGUCCCUAUCUGCCGUGGGCGUAAGAAGAUUGAAGAGAUUUGACCCUAGUACGAGAGGACCGGGUUGAACAAACCACUGGUGUAGCUGUUGUUCUGCCAAGAGCAUCGCAGCGUAGCUAAGUUUGGAAAGGAUAAACGCUGAAAGCAUCUAAGCGUGAAGCCAACUCUAAGAUGAAUCUUCUCUAAGCUCUCUAGAAGACUACUAGUUUGAUAGGCUGGGUGUGUAAUGGAUGAAAGUCCUUUAGCUGACCAGUACUAAUAGAGCGUUUGGCUUAUCUUAUAAA